AUUGAACGCUGGCGGCAGGCCUAACACAUGCAAGUCGAGCGGUAGAGAGGAGCUUGCUCCUCUUGAGAGCGGCGGACGGGUGAGUAAUGCCUAGGAAUCUGCCUGGUAGUGGGGGAUAACGUUCGGAAACGGACGCUAAUACCGCAUACGUCCUACGGGAGAAAGCAGGGGACCUUCGGGCCUUGCGCUAUCAGAUGAGCCUAGGUCGGAUUAGCUAGUUGGUGAGGUAAUGGCUCACCAAGGCGACGAUCCGUAACUGGUCUGAGAGGAUGAUCAGUCACACUGGAACUGAGACACGGUCCAGACUCCUACGGGAGGCAGCAGUGGGGAAUAUUGGACAAUGGGCGAAAGCCUGAUCCAGCCAUGCCGCGUGUGUGAAGAAGGUCUUCGGAUUGUAAAGCACUUUAAGUUGGGAGGAAGGGCAGUAAAUUAAUACU
rnacentral:rRNA from 1 species